rnacentral:lncRNA from 1 species
ACGUACGUCCGGUGGCCGUAAGUGUCCCGCUGGUGUUUGCCGGAGAGCCAGCUUGCAGCCUUGCAGCCAGUGUGCCGGGUAGGCUGACCUUCUGCAUAACCUCUGCCUGCAUUUUUGUAUUGCUUGUGUUUUGCAGAUUCCGGCUUUGUAAUGGCUGGUGCAAACGAGUCGCAGUUUCAAGGGCUCUCUAAAUACUUCAACACUGUUACCAAAACGGGCCGCGCCAACAUUGCCAAGAGCACAUACUUAGUACUGGGAACCAUAGGUUUUCUUUUCUGGGCGAAGAAAAAGUCCAGUGGUGGAUCUGCGAAGUAGAUGCCUUAGGACAAGCCGCAAGAAAGGGUGCGGGACAUCGGGCCCCCUCGCUGCCACCGUUCACGCGAGCAUGCAUGUGAAACCAUUUGUGCAUUAAAUUCAGAGCCUGCCAUAUGUUUGUGGACUUAGUGUCAACAGCAAAGUAGAAAAAAAAAGAUACAUAAUCAGUGGCAGUACACAACAUGCAUUGCUGUAUUGAAUAAAAUUGAGUGUCAUG